GACGAACGCUGGCGGCGUGCCUGAUACAUGCAAGUCGAACGCUGAAGGCUGGUAUUUGUACCGUGUGUGUGUGGCGAGCGGGUGAGUAUCACGUGUGUAACCUGCGCUUUAGAGUGGGGUACCACCUUGGGACACGAAUUAAUACCCCGUAUAAACACUUUCUGCAUGAUGUUUGUGUUUGAAAGUCGCCAUUUCAUCACUCACAGAUGACUCAGCGUUGUAUUCGCUAGUUGGUGGGGUAAAGGCGCACCAAGGCGAUGACGCAUAGCCGACGUGAGAGGGUGAGCGGCCACACUGGGACUGAGACACGGCCCAUACUCAUACGGGAGGCAGCAGUAGGGAAACUUCGGCAAGGGACGGAAGUCUGACCGAGCAACGCCGCGUGAGUGAAGAAGGUUUUCGGAUCGGAAAACUCUGUUGGUAGAGAAGAACGCGGGUGAGAGUGGAAAGCUCAUCAAGUGACGGUAACUACCCAGAAAGGGACGGCUAACUACGUG
rnacentral:rRNA from 1 species